UACGAAGGGGGCUAGCGUUGCUCGGAAUCACUGGGCGUAAAGCGCACGUAGGCGGAUUGUUAAGUCAGGGGUGAAAUCCUGGAGCUCAACUCCAGAACUGCCUUUGAUACUGGCAAUCUCGAGUCCGGGAGAGGUGAGUGGAACUGCGAGUGUAGAGGUGAAAUUCGUAGAUAUUCGCAAGAACACCAGUGGCGAAGGCGGCUCACUGGCCCGGUACUGACGCUGAGGUGCGAAAGCGUGGGGAGCAAACAGGG
rnacentral:rRNA from 1 species